GAUGAACGCUGGCGGCGUGCCUAAUACAUGCAAGUCGAGCGAACGGACGAGAAGCUUGCUUUUCUGAUGUUAGCGGCGGACGGGUGAGUAACACGUGGAUAACCUACCUAUAAGACUGGGAUAACUUCGGGAAACCGGAGCUAAUACCGGAUAAUAUUUUGAACCGCAUGGUUCAAAAGUGAAAGACGGUCUUGCUGUCACUUAUAGAUGGAUCCGCGCUGCAUUAGCUAGUUGGUAAGGUAACGGCUUACCAAGGCAACGAUGCAUAGCCGACCUGAGAGGGUGAUCGGCCACACUGGAGCUGAGACACGGUCCAGACUCCUACGGGAGGCAGCAGCAGGGAAUCUUCCGCAAUGGGCGAAAGCCUGACGGAGCAACGCCGCGUGAGUGAUGAAGGUCUUCGGAUCGUAAAACUCUGUUAUUAGGGAAGAACAUAUGUGUAAGUAACUGUGCACAUCUUGACGGUACCUAAUCAGAAAGCCACGGCUAACUACGUG
rnacentral:rRNA from 1 species